GCGAAUGGAUUGAGAGCUUGCUCUCAAGAAGUUAGCGGCGGACGGGUGAGUAACACGUGGGUAACCUGCCCAUAAGACUGGGAUAACUCCGGGAAACCGGGGCUAAUACCGGAUAASAUUUUGAACUGCAUGGUUCGAAAUUGAAAGGCGGCUUCGGCUGUCACUUAUGGAUGGACCCGCGUCGCAUUAGCUAGUUGGUGAGGUAACGGCUCACCAAGGCAACGAUGCGUAGCCGACCUGAGAGGGUGAUCGGCCACACUGGGACUGAGACACGGCCCAGACUCCUACGGGAGGCAGCAGUAGGGAAUCUUCCGCAAUGGACGAAAGUCUGACGGAGCAACGCCGCGUGAGUGAUGAAGGCUUUCGGGUCGUAAAACUCUGUUGUUAGGGAAGAACAAGUGCUAGUUGAAUAAGCUGGCACCUUGACGGUACCUAACCAGAAAGCCACGGCUAACUACGUGCCAGCAGCCGCGGUAAUACGUAGGUGGCAAGCGUUAUCCGGAAUUAUUGGGCGUAAAGCGCGCGCAGGUGGUUUCUUAAGUCUGAUGUGAAAGCCCACGGCUCANCCGUGGAGGGUCAUUGGAAACUGGGAGACUUGAGUGCAGAAGAGGAAAGUGGAAUUCCAUGUGUAGCGGUGAAAUGCGUAGAGAUAUGGAGGAACACCAGUGGCGAAGGCGACUUUUCUGGUCUGUAACUGACACUGAGGCGCGAAAGCGUGGGGGAGCAAACAGGAUUAGAUACCCUGGUAGUCCACGCCGUAAACGAUGAGUGCUAA
rnacentral:rRNA from 1 species